rnacentral:lncRNA from 1 species
AUGCACAAUUCCACAGCAUUUCCAUCUCGGAAGAGCACACUGCCCGUCACCUACCGAGUACGCAGUGUCAGGAGGGGUCAGUCUGGAGGCCACAGUUGGGCAUCAUUUCUUGUCUUUUCCUCAUCUAUCCCCUGGACAGAUCACCUGCAUUGGGACCAUCACAAGAUACCAGAAGAUGAGAAAAAAAAAAAGUUAUUCACUGGAAUUUCAGGAAAUUGUAUGAAAGGCAAAACGGCCUAGCUUGGUUGAUCCCUGAAAAAAAAUUUUUUUUAAGUCAGAAAUAGGCCCCUGUGUUUGGGGGAAAGUUGAAGGAAUAGUUUUGACCAGGUGCGAUGACUAACGCCUGUGAUCCCAGCACUUCGGGUGGCUGAGGCAGGCGGAUCACGAGGUCACGAGUCCAAGACCAGCCUGGCCGACACAGUGAAACUCCGUCUCUACUAAAAAUACAAAAAUUAGCUGGGCGUGGUGACACAUGCCUAUAAUCCCAGCCACUUGGAAGGCUGAGGCAGGAGAAUUGCUUGACCUGGGACCGGAGAAGCAGAGCUUGCAGUGAGCCAAGAUCGAGCCACUGUACUCCAGCCUAGGCUACAGAGCGCGACUUCGUCUCAGAAAAAAAAAAAAAAGAAGAAGAAGAAGAAGGAGAAGGAGAAGUAGAAGAAGAGGAAAUAGUUUCCACUUCCCAAGUGAAUGUUCAGGGUAUAGAAGGUCACCUGCCGGGAUUUAAGUUAAAGGAGUCAGGGGACUGCAAGCAAGCAUGCAGGGAGCACAUUGGAGGCUGAUGAUAAUCAGUCAGCGGUUACCCUGCACCACGGCACCCUAAUGUCCUUCAUGAAGCCACUCAGCACACAUUGCUUGGCUGGAGCGGAUUUUCUCACCCAAAUGGCAGACCUCUGAGCCCAGAUUAUCAUGGAGGUAGUGGUGAGGUGACAGUCACAGCCAAGGGGGUAGAGAAGGGGACAUCUCUGGAGAAAAAAAGCAUUUUCACAAGCUUUGAACCCCUGGGGUUGAGAGGUGAGCCAGAUUCAUCUAAACCUCCAACAGCCAAGGAGUCUUCUGAGUUUAUGAGAUUCAAUUUAAAAAAUGAAGAAUAGGCUCUUCUAGUAGCUAACCUGCUGCCUAGCCCAGAAUAAGAAUCCAUUGGACUCUUCUUCCAUUUGUUAAGUGAGGGCUGACUUCUGGUUUCAAGCUUUAGGUGCCUACUCUGUGCUUGGGAUUGUGCCAGGGACCAUGUCUCUGUUUCCGAGAGUCAUACAUUCCCUUGGAAAAGGCAUUGCCUGUACUCAGUGUGACACCUGAUCGUGCAAGGAUUCCAGAUUAAUAUCCCAUGCAGUACUGGGCAGCAAGAUGGGCGCUGCACCCACAGGGGUUGCUUUGUUAGAGGUCCAUCCAGACAGUGCAUCCAUGGGGUUUUGGAGCUUAGGAUUCUGAAGCGUGUGUUGCUGUAUGUGUUGAGGAACUGCAAGGAUCUUCUUUGUAUUGGACAUCUUAAUAAUCAUAUUUUAAUAUGAUUAUUUUCCUUUGUAAUCCUAUGUAUUUAUUUCUUAUUGGGGUAUCAUUUAGACACCAUAAAAUCUGUGUAUGUGUUCAAUGAGUUUUGACAAUUGCAUAUACUCACACGACCACCGCCCUAAACAGGAUACAGAGCAUUUCCAAACCUCAGAAAGUUUCCUCAAGUCAACUCCAAUCCAAAACCGAACCUCCAGUGUUCUGACUUCCAUCGCAGUAGGUCGGUCCUGCCUGUUCUUGACUUCACCCACAUAUCUUUCCUGGGUGGCUUCUCUUGCUUGACACAGUGAUUCUGAGAUUUGAAACACAAGGCAUGCAUGGAGUGUGUUCCUCGGGGUCUUGGAAGGAAGACUAUCUGGAACGUGUUAGGGGUGUUUAAUGAAGGGCUACACGUUGUGAGCAGGGAAUAAGGAAUCCACAAGCCAGCGUGUUCCUCACCUGAAGAGGGGCAGGAGCAGCCACUGGAAGAGGAAAGACAGCUGCGUCAGGCCAGGAGGCCUUUGGUCAGGAACAGCCAGCCUGGGCAACCACAGAGGGAAGAAGUCAGGAAGAAAUACCUUGUCUCUCUCUCUCCUUUCAAGAUGCCCCACUGGCCCAGCGCAACUGUGAGCCAGAAAGUAGGAGAGGCCGUUAAUUCCCCGCAAAGAGGCCAGCCGAGGUAGAGAGCUGCAGGAAAACAUCUGGAGCUGGAAGGAGAGGGUGUUCAGCACAUGGCCGCGUGUUCAGGUAAACCCAGAGUAUGGGUAAAGGCAUGGGGAUCUGACUGCAGGGAGGGGCACAGUUAAGGAAGUGCUCGAAAAUUAGCUUUCUUACCCUUCCCUCCUUUCUUCUUCUCACCCUGCCUUCCUGCCUUCCUCCUUUCCUCCCUCCCUCCCUUCUUGCCUUUCUUCCUUCCUUUAUUCGGCCUUCCUUCUUUCCUUCCUCUUUUCCUUUUUUCCUUCCUUUGAAAAU